CUCUCUCUUGGGGUGACUAUAUUGAUAAACUUUUGGCCAAUCUUCUUAAGGGAAAUUCAAUCCAUUAAGCUUUGUGUUAUCUUGGAAAAAAAAGAUAGUAAAAGAAAAAUAUGAUUUUUUUUCUUUUGCUGAUUUUUAUAACGUUGCACACAUUUCUUUGUUUUUCAUGUUUUUAACACUACUAGGACUAGUACAAUAUUUUCAAAGACUCGUAUGCGUUAGUUAUUCAUAAGUAAUUAGGAAAUUAAAAAGUAAUUAGAAAUCUUUAAUCAGUGGAUUUAAGCAGAAUUAUAAAUAAUUGUCAUUAUGGUCUUUUUAUGUAUAUAUCUAGUUUAUUUGCAUCAAGCAUGAUGGGGUGUGUUUCUUGAUCUCUUUUGACCAAACACAUUAAAUUAAUCCCCCUGUCUUCGAUUUACACAAGUCGUGCAUUUGAGGUCAUUUGGAAAUCCUUUUCAGUCACAGUUCAUCAAUCACAAAGUAAAUCUGGAUGGGACUUUGCUCUUGUCUCAUCAGAGACUCCCCUCAAGCUCCAUAAAUUUUUGAUUUGCUGCUAUGGUUGGCUGGUUUUAAUUUAGAGUUGAAGAACAAACAGCAUAGUUGUCUGGAAUUGCACUUGGAGAAAAAGAAUGUAUGAAAUCUUUGGAUCAGAUUCUGGGAGACGGAUUGCAAUGUCUCUGAGAACUGGGGAGCCACAAUGCAUACUGCACACUCAUUAUGACCGCUUCACGCUCAUCAUGUACUGUAUAUUACAUGUGUAGCUAUUUAUUUAGAAGUAUAUAUGAUAUUGUUACAGAGACUCUCAUUAAGAUGGCACUUGUCACUGCUGUGAAUAGUGAAAUUCUUACAAAAAUGCAAUGGGUUGCUGGUGAGGUUUUUAAGAAUAAACAUGGGAUUACACAGGGUGAGCAAAAACAACAUAUAAUGGCCAGACUUCCAGGUUCCAGAUUUACUUGGUAGUUUUGCUCUCUGUUCCUAUAAAAUAGAAUAGCAUAAUGGCCCCUCUCUCCACUUACAGAACAAUUUAAAUACGUCCUUUAGAUGAAACCCAUGAGAUUGAUUUUGGCAUAAGUUUGUUUUGGCUAGGAUGUGCGACAUUUCUUCAUUAUGGUUACAUGUUUAUGGUGCGAUUGGGAUAGUUGCAAAGACAAUUGUGUAACUAACGUGUCUCGACAAUUCUGUGUAACUGGAGGUAUGUCAUGUAUUUUGCUCCAGGAUUUAUGUGAUUAUAAAUCUUUUACGCAAUAAAGCUAAUGUAGUAAUUCUUCAGGCAUAUUGUUGUCUGGGUUGGAGACAGACACCACACGAUAAAACAUUUUCUUAAACAAUUUUUAAAAAUGUGCUAAUAGUGGCAUUACUUGACAUGGGCUACAUGAUCAAGGUGUAGAGCACUCAAGAAAUAGAAAUCAAAUAACUGCUAGUAUUUUAAUUGGUUGGAGUUCAUCAGAAGGAGGGGCUUGACCAAGGCACCAUUCCUGCGAUAACCAUAACUGCAUGCAUAUUUCUAAUUGAAGCUCACAAAAUUAGGCAUAGUGAUUGUGAUUAAUUGCAGCACUAAAGUGUGAUUAAUCUGAUAAAAUGUUUAAUACACAGGUAAAAUGUUGAUUAUACUCAUAGCUUCAGUUAUGCACGUACUGUUUACAAAGUACAAGAAACUUCGUGGCGAGCCAUAAAUUAUAAGUUACCAAAUGAUGUCAUGUAAAAUUCAACCAAUAACAUUAUUAGUAUUUUUCCUGAAAUUUAGUUAUCAGAUUUGAUACUUUUUUCAGUGAUCAUGCCCAUUUUAGCAAUCAUUAUCAUUUCACCCUUAACUUAUAGACACAGUGAUGAAAAUAUGAAGUUUUCAAAAUCAGCUACACAAUCCAUUUUGAAAUAUAAAUUUAGUCAAAGAAGCAUUUAUUAUGAUAGAGAAAUGUUCA